UAGUAAAAUAUGAAGCUAUUUUGAAAAGCAUAUUGGUUUAGUUACUCUUAAAAUAUGGCUUGAUUCUGAGUUUAGUAAAAUAUGAAGCUAUUCUGAAAAGUAUAUUUGUUUUGUUACUCUUAAAAUAUGACAAUUCUGAGCUUCCAUAAACUGUACCAAUCAAACCACCCAGUGCUUAGUAAAAUAUGAAGCUAUUUUGAAAAGCAUAUCGGUUUAGUUACUCUUAAAAUAUGACGAAUCUGACCUUUCAUAAAUUCUACUAUAUAAACCAGCCUAGUAAAAUAUUGAGCUAUUCUGAGAAGUAUAUUGGAUUGGGGUUAACUCUUAAAAUAUGGGUUUAUUCUGACCAUCUUCCAAAUAAACUGUCUGAUGCUUACUAAAAUAUGGCUCUGUUGUGAAGGGUAUAUCGUGUUACUUGCGUUCUGGGUUUGUUACAACACUCUCCAGAGUACCACAGUAAAAUAUUUUGCACUAGACGUAAGCUAUGGUGUCGUUCUGCCCAUGUAAUACCACUAGAAAAAUACACUUAUCUCAGGAACAGCUGGCAACGAAGAGGUGCAGAAACAUAACAAAAGUGACGAACUAGAUGGUAACAGCGGUGCAUUGUGGCGUAAGGAAUGGCACGGUGUUAAUACCCUGAUGUGCUUGACGGGAAAACGAAAACACGUCGAUACUUGAGAACGUAAGACCGAAACGACAACAUAAAAGACUCAGAUAAAAAACAGAUAGAUAAUAAAUGGAAUAAGAGGGAUAAAAAUAAGAGCUCAUAGGGAAAUCAACAAUGCAUAGAUAGAUAGUACCUCGGAAAGCCUAAACGACAACAUAAAAGACUCGGAUAAAAAAUAGGUAGAUAAUAAAUGGGAUAAUAGAGGGAUAAUAAAUGGAAUGAACUCUAAUAAUAGCUUGUAGGGAAAUCAACAAUGUAUAGAUAAUUUAGCUACGUAAGACCGAAACGACAACAUAAAAAAGACUUGGAUAAAAAAAAAUAGGAGUGAAAAUAAAUGGGAUAGAGGGAUAAUAGGUGGAAUGAACUAUAAGAGCUCACAGGGAAAUCAUGAAUGUAUAGAUAAUUUAGCUACGUAAGACCGAAACGACAACUUAAAAAAGGCGGAUAAACAAAUAGGAGUGAAAAUAAAUGGGAUAAUAUAGGGAUAAUAGGUGGAAUGAACUAUUAGAGCUCACAGGGAAAUCAUGAAUGUAUAGAUAAUUUAGCUACGUAAGACCGAAACGACAACUUAAAAAAGGCGGAUAAAAAAAUAGGAGUGAAAAUAAAUGGGAUAAUAUAGGGAUAAUAAAUGGAAUGAACUAUAAGAGCUCGCAGGGAAAUCAACAAUGUAAAGAUAAUUGAGCUACGUAAAAGGCCUAACAAUACGUAUGACCAGAACGAUAACAAAGGUGGCUCGGAUAAAACAACAGGCGAGAUAAUAAAUGGAAUGAACUAUAAGUGCUUGAAGAAUGUGAAUAGGAAAGACGACAGCAAAGUAAUCACAAUAUAUGGCCGUGGUGGAGGAAAAUCUGGAUACAGUCGUCCCUCAAAUAGUAUGGUUUCCAAAAGUUCGGUUUCAGUUUUAUGUGGAUUUUCAUUGAAGAUUUUUUAAGGAUUUUUUAAUUUCCCGACGAGCAGGAAAUUUAAAAAUCCUUAAAGAUCUUCCAUGACAAUCCGUAUAAAACCGAAACCAAACUAUUGGAAACCGUACUAUUUGAGGGACGGCUGUAUAUGUUACUUGGUCAAAACACAACUUCCGAAAAUACUGACGCGGAAUCAUAAAUGAGUCUUGAUUUUGAAGCUACAGAACCCUUAAAUGUAAUAGUUAAAUAAAUAGAGAAGAAUGUGAAUGUGUAAGAAAGACAACAGCGAAUGAUCAUAAUAAAUGGCUGUGCUGGAGGAAAAUCUGGAUAUAUGUUACUUGGGCAAAACACAACUUCCGAAAAUACUGACGUUGAAUCAUAAAUGAGUCUUGAUAUCGAAGCUACAGAACCCUUAAAUGUAAUAGUUAAAUAAAUAGAGAAGAAUGUGAAUAUAUAAGAAAGACAACAGCGAAUGAUCAUAAUAAAUGGCUGUGCUGGAGGAACGCUGGAAAUACACAACUUGGUCAAAACACAACUUCCGAAAAUACUGACGCAGAAUCAUAAAGCACUCUGUCUUGGUACCAAAGCUCCAGAACCUUAAAAUAUAAUAAAUAAAUAAAACCAAUAAAUACAUGAAUUGAUAAAUUACUUAAGUACAGAUGAACAUUAGGUGAUAAAAGCAAACUGUGUGUGUUGUUAAGUACUCUGAAAAAACAGGACAAGAAUUCCGACUUAUAAGGAACCGAAAACAAAAUGAAAGUAGCUGAGAGGCGGUGGCUGAGUGGUUAGCGUGCAAGCGUGGUGAGCCCGUGGAAUUAAGUUCGAGUCCCACCAAAACACACUGAUUUUUCAAGUCAUUGUCGAGAGGCGGAAGAUUACCCACAUGCUGCCCAGACCUUCAGUCAACCCUAACUUCAGCGACUUCAUUCAAGUGGAGCACCGGGGGCAGCAUGGGCCAAGCUGAGUCGUAUAUCAAGGCAGCCACUAUAAAUAAAAUUCGUCUGAACCCCUAACAGGCUGGGGCCAAAAAAUAAAUAACUAAAUAAAUAAAUAAAUAAAAAAUACUUGCCGAGACAAACCUGAAUUGAAGGAUUUGAAAAAAUAAAAUAAAAUUGCUGAGAAUAAUCUGAAUGAAUAACCAAGACGACAAGUCCGACUUAAAGGAUUUGAAAGGAAAAAAAAAAAAAAAUCACCGAGAAUAUAUCUGACUGAAUAAUCAAAGACUACAAAUCCGAGUUAAACGAUUUGAAAACGUUAUGAAAAUCGUCGAGAAUAAUCUAUUGGUAACUGCUUUGGGGUUAACAUUUGCAUUGCUUUUGUCAAUGUUAGUUAAGCUUGAAUGAAAAAGUUGAAACUAUGACUGAAUAACCAAAGACGACAAACAUGACUUAAAAGAAUUGCAAAUGAAAUUAAAAUCGCCAAAAUUAAUCUACAACUUAACAUCCAAAGACGGCAAAUCCAACUUAGACGAUCUGGAAACAUAGUGAAAAUGUCCUAAAAUGGAAUUAAAAAGAGAAACUAACCACAUAACUGUUAAUAAAUACUAUGCUAUGUGAAAAUCAGUCCUCAAAAAUAUCAUCGAAAAGAGAAACUAACCACAUGACUUAAUCAAUACUAACAAACCUAAAAUAUCUGGUGUUUGUUAUUUGUUGGAACUCUGACGUGGAAUGCUGGUGUUGACGGACGAGGAAGUGCAGUGCCUUACAGAACAGUGUAGCCGACCCUCUAGUGAGCGCGUGAGGCACCGAGGAAAUUCAAGCAAGAUGGAGGUGUUAUCUUAAUGAACCUUAGCAAUUUGGGACUAGUGGAGCUUUUUUUUCUUUGUGUGUGUGUGUGUGUGUGUGUGUGUGUGUGUGUGUCCAGGCCAAGGGUGUGUCAUAUGGAAACCCUUAAAAAAAAGCACUAAAUGAAGGUCUAAUGUACUUUUUAUGUGUGUGUGUGUGUGUGUGUGUGUGCUGUUCCUACCUUCUUUCUCUUCUCUCUCCCUCUUUUAUGCUUUCUUUUCAUCUCUCUCUCUCUCUCUCUCUCUCUCUCUCUCUCUCUCUCUCUCUCUCUCUCUCUCUCUCUCUCUCUCCCU